rnacentral:tRNA from 1 species
GCCUCGAUGGCGCAGUAGGCAGCGCGUGAGUCUCAUAAUCUCAAGGUCGUGAGUUCGAUCCUCACUCGGGGGACG